AUUGAACGCUGGCGGCAUGCCUUACACAUGCAAGUCGAACGGCAGCACGGAUGCUUGCACCUGGUGGCGAGUGGCGAACGGGUGAGUAAUACAUCGGAACGUACCUUAUCGUGGGGGAUAACGCAGCGAAAGCUGUGCUAAUACCGCAUACGCCCUGAGGGGGAAAGCGGGGGAUCGCAAGACCUCGCGCGAUUAGAGCGGCCGAUGCCUGAUUAGCUAGUUGGUGGGGUAAAAGACCACCAAGGCGACGAUCAGUAGCUGGUCUGAGAGGACGAUCAGCCACACUGGGACUGAGACACGGCCCAGACUCCUACGGGAGGCAGCAGUGGGGAAUUUUGGACAAUGGGGGCAACCCUGAUCCAGCAAUGCCGCGUGAGUGAAGAAGGCCUUCGGGUUGUAAAGCUCUUUUGUCAGGGAAGAAACACCGGCUCUAACACAGUCCGGGAAUGACGGUACCUGAAGAAUAAGCACCGGCUAACUACGUGCCAGCAGCCGCCGUAA
rnacentral:rRNA from 1 species